rnacentral:lncRNA from 1 species
CUAACUAUGCCCAAUUCAAAAUCUAGGUUACAAGUUUCUUUAGUGCAAAAAUCAAGUUUUAGCUAAUUAAUUAAAAAUAUUUAUUAAAUAAUGAUAAUAAAAACACAAUUAUACUAUUCAUAAUCACAUAUUCACAAUUAUAGGUCACAGAUUUUAUUUAUCAGUCACAUAUCAUCAAAUUAAUUAGUUAUAGAUUUUUUCGAGGUCACAAAUCACAAUUUUGAUAAGUUACAGAUUAUGUCGAGGUCAUAGAUGAAAAAAUUAUAGGUCACAAAUCCAAAAAAUUAUAGUCACAGGUCACAUAUUUUCAAAUUUGAUAGUCACAUAUUACUUUUUUUAGUCAUAGAUGAUCGAAUUUUAAGGCCACGGGUCAAAUAGCCGAUCACCACCAACUCCACUGCCACCAUCGUCACUUGCAACCACCAUCACCCCGUCACCGUCGCCACUGCCAACACCAACACCAACAUUAACAAAAUUGACGCAACCAGAUCCACCGCCACCACCAAACACACAAAAAAAAACGACCAUCGCCACCUCCAGAUCCACCACCAACACUAUCGCCACCAAAAAUACGAACAUCACCACACUGCACCACACCACAACACCCACAUAGCACCAACAAAAUCGGCUUCCACAAACAUAGAACUCACAUCACACGCCAUCAACACAAACUGGCUUCCACUCACACCGCACCAACAAACCGACUUUUACACACUUCUGCGCAUCGAGCCACUGUUGCAUCACCGUUGACUAGCUAGUCGCAUAGCGCAGCCACGAUGGCGCCGCUGUGAGCGUAGACUCCGCGGCGCUCAGAUCAACGAGUGACGACUUCGAUCGGCCAAAUUGCUCACAACACUGUCUGCGAGGGCGCCGCACCGCAGCAACUAUGCCGUCGCUCAACUCUCACGUCUCUGACGACGAUGCUUUUCAAUGAUGAUGAAGGUUUGAGGGAGAGAGAGUGUAGAGAUAGAGAGGGAGAGGGAGAGGGAGAGGGAGAGGGAGAGAGGGAGACGGUGGAGAGAGAGAUAGAG